AUGAGUAUUCUGAUGAGAAACGGCCAGUCCCGGGGUCCUGGAGAAGGACGGCUUGUACAGCUGGAGCAGCACACUGACUCUCACUGCCCAGGAGUGGACCAAGGCAGGAGAGAGUGCACUGUGUAUGAAGGUGCUCACUCUUGUGUGAAUGAGGUUUUUGUACGGCGACUUCACCAGAAUGAAUCACUGUGGUGGACUUUUGGAAGCGGAACAAAACUGGUGCUGAAAACUGGUCCCUCUGUCAGGCCCACAGUGUCUCUGCUCCCCCCGUCCUCUGAGCAGCUCUCCGGGGGCUCGGCCACAUUGGCCUGCCUGCUGAGCGGCUACUCCCCCCAGGGGGCGAUGGUGAGCUGGGAGGUGGACGGGGCAGAGGUGAAGGAGGGGGUCCUGACCACCACAGAAGAAGAGAAGGGUGGCCACUACAGCCGCAGCAGCACCUUGACCCUGAGCAAGGCACUCUGGGAAGAGGGAGAGGUGUACACCUGCAGGGUCGCCCACGACGACACCAGUGAUUCAGCCGCCUUCCGGAGAAGUCACUGUAGUGUCUAGAAGCCAUUGCAGGGGUCUAGAGAGUCCCCACGUGGUGUUAGUUCUGGAAACAGUGUUUUAGAGCUGAAUGUUAAAGUAUAAUAGUGAAAUAGAGUAGUGCUGUGUGCUAAAUUAACUAUUUUGAGAUUAAGCUGUGCAUGUCUUCUUGCCUCUGAGUUUAAAUAAAGCUUGUUUUGAUUGAAAUAUAA